GUCAGCAGCUCCUGAGCCAACUGUGUUCCUGGGUGGGAAACACUUCAUUUUCCUGUGCAGCCACCACCUCUUUGUGGCCGGAGCCGGCAGAUGACUGGUGUGAAGUUCUGUGGGAAGAGGCUGAGGCCAAAGACUUUAGAAACUUCUAGUCGGAGACUGAGCCAGGGGCUGCCUACUGUCCAUUUGUGCAGGCCUCGGUUGUGCAAGGAGGCAGGGUCCUGCUGCCCACUGGCUGAGACCAGUCCACCAGCCCAAGUCGGGAGUGGAGUAGUCACUGAGGCGGCUCCAGAAUCUCACAAUAACAAUGAACGGCACCUGAGCCCUUACUCUCGUUUCUAACUUCAUUCAUUUCUGCACCACUUUGAAGGCCAGAAUGGGCUUCCCCUGCAGGUCUAUGUCGAUCAGUAUUGCUGAGCUGAGUAUAUUGCAACACUUCCCUGCAAAAAGAAACUGAUGUCUUCCUCCUAUAAGAAAUACAUAAAUCAGUUAAAAAUAG